rnacentral:rRNA from 1 species
GUGGGGAAUCUUAGACAAUGGGCGCAAGCCUGAUCUAGCCAUGCCGCGUGAUCGAUGAAGGCCUUAGGGUUGUAAAGAUCUUUCAGUGGGGAAGAUAAUGACUGUACCCACAGAAGAAGCCCCGGCUAACUCCGUGCCAGCAGCCGCGGUAAUACGGAGGGGGCUAGCGUUGUUCGGAAUUACUGGGCGUAAAGCGCACGUAGGCGGAACAGAAAGUCAGAGGUGAAAUCCCAGGGCUCAACCUUGGAACUGCCUUUGAAACUCCUGUUCUUGAGUUCGAGAGAGGUGAGUGGAAUUCCGAGUGUAGAGGUGAAAUUCGUAGAUAUCCGGAGGAACACCAGUGGCGAAGGCGGCUUCCUGGACAGUAACUGACGCUGAGACGCGAAAGCGUGGGGAGCAAACAGGAUUAGAAACCCCUGUAGUCC